UACGUAGGGGGCGAGCGUUGUCCGAAGUUACUGGGCGUAAAGAGUAGUGGUAGGUGUCUGUUAAGAUACAUCUGAAAGGUGACAGCUCAACUGUCAAUGGUGGUGUAAGACUGGCAGGCUUGAGGCAAGCAGAAGAGUGUGGAACUCCGAGUGUAGCGGUGGAAUGCGUAGAGAUUCGGAAGAACACCCAUGGCGAAGGCAGCACUCUGGGCUUGAACCGCAAGGUGAACCUGACACUGAGGUACGAAAGCCAGGGGAGCGAACGGG
rnacentral:rRNA from 1 species